CCUACGGGAGGCAGCAGUAGGGAAUAUUGCUCAAUGGGGGAAACCCUGAAGCAGCAACGCCGCGUGGAGGAUGAAGGUUUUAGGAUUGUAAACUCCUUUUGUUAUAGAAGAUUAUGACUGUAUCUAACGAAUAAGCACCGUAUAACUCCGUACCAGCAGCCGCGGUAAUACGGAGGGAGCAAGCGUUAUCCGGAAUCACUGGGCGUAAAGAGUGCGUAGGCGGGGUAAUAAGUCAGAUGUGAAAUCCUGUAGCUUAACUACAGAACUGCAUUUGAAACUGUGACUCUUGAGUGUAGGAGAGGUAGGUGGAAUUCUUGGGGUAGGGGUAAAAUGCGUAGAGAUCAAGAGGAAUACUCAUUGCGAAGGCGACCCGCUGGAACAUUACUGACGCUGAUGCACGAAAGCGUGGGGAGCAAACAGGAUUAGAUACCCCGGUAGUC
rnacentral:rRNA from 1 species